rnacentral:rRNA from 1 species
UACGUAGGGUCCGAGCGUUGUCCGGAAUUAUUGGGCGUAAAGAGCUCGUAGGCGGUCUGUCGCGUCGGAUGUGAAAAUCCAGGGCUCAACCCUGGACCUGCAUUCGAUACGGGCAGACUAGAGUUCGGCAGGGGAGACUGGAAUUCCUGGUGUAGCGGUGAAAUGCGCAGAUAUCAGGAGGAACACCGGUGGCGAAGGCGGGUCUCUGGGCCGAUACUGACGCUGAGGAGCGAAAGCGUGGGGAGCGAACAGG